AGUUGAUCAUGGCUCAGGAUGAACGCUAGCGGCAGGCCUAACACAUGCAAGUCGCGGGGCAGCACGGGUAGCAAUACCUGGUGGCGACCGGCGCACGGGUGCGUAACGCGUAUGCAACCUGCCCCCAUCAGGGGAAUAGCCCGCCGAAAGGCGGAUUAAUGCCCCAUAGGCCCAGGGCGCCGCAUGGCGCUAUGGGUAAAGCUCCGGCGGAUGGGGAUGGGCAUGCGUGCCAUUAGCUAGUUGGGGCGGUAACGGCGCACCAAGGCGACGAUGGCUAGGGGGUCUGAGAGGAUGGUCCCCCACACUGGUACUGAGACACGGACCAGACUCCUACGGGAGGCAGCAGUGAGGAAUAUUGGUCAAUGGGCGGAAGCCUGAACCAGCCAUGCCGCGUGCAGGAUGAAGGCCGUGAGGUUGUAAAGUUCUUUUCGGGAGGGGGAACAACCGUGGCAGGGAAUGGCCGCGGGAUGACGUGAAUCCCGGAAUAAGCCCCGGCUAACUACGUGCCAGCCGCAGC
rnacentral:rRNA from 1 species